AUUGAACGCUGGCGGCAUGCUUUACACAUGCAAGUCGAACGGUAACAGGCCGCAAGGUGCUGACGAGUGGCGAACGGGUGAGUAAUGCAUCGGAACGUGCCCAGUCGUGGGGGAUAACUACUCGAAAGAGUAGCUAAUACCGCAUACGAUCUAUGGAUGAAAGCGGGGGACCGUAAGGCCUCGCGCGAUUGGAGCGGCCGAUGUCAGAUUAGGUAGUUGGUGGGGUAAAGGCUCACCAAGCCAACGAUCUGUAGCUGGUCUGAGAGGACAACCAGCCACACUGGGACUGAGACACGGCCCAGACUCCUACGGGAGGCAGCAGUGGGGAAUUUUGGACAAAGGGCGCAAGCCUGAUCCAGCAAUGCCGCGUGCAGGAAGAAGGCCUUCGGGUUGUAAACUGCUUUUGUACGGAACGAAACGGCUCUGGUUAAUACCCGGGGCUAAUGACGGUACCGUAAGAAUAAGCACCGGCUAGCUACGUG
rnacentral:rRNA from 1 species